AUUGAACGCUGGCGGCAUGCCUUACACAUGCAGGUCGAACGGUAACGGGCCUUCGGGUGCCGACGAGUGGCGAACGGGUGAGUAAUACAUCGGAACGUGCCCGACCGUGGGGGAUAACGAGGCGAAAGCUUUGCUAAUACCGCAUACGAUCUACGGAUGAAAGCAGGGGACCGCAAGGCCUUGCGCGGACGGAGCGGCCGAUGGCAGAUUAGGUAGUUGGUGGGAUAAAAGCUUACCAAGCCGACGAUCUGUAGCUGGUCUGAGAGGAUGAUCAGCCACACUGGGACUGAGACACGGCCCAGACUCCUACGGGAGGCAGCAGUGGGGAAUUUUGGACAAUGGGCGCAAGCCUGAUCCAGCCAUGCCGCGUGCAGGAUGAAGGCCUUCGGGUUGUAAACUGCUUUUGUACGGAACGAAAAGCCUUCUUUUAAUACAGGAGGGUCAUGACGGUACCGUAAGAAUAAGCACCGGCUAACUACGUG
rnacentral:rRNA from 1 species